GACUUUAUCUUGUGCAGGUUGAGCUGGUUACUGAAGAUUCCUGACAGGAAGGGAUUCAUCUUGUCUGGUGGAACUACAACUCUGAAAAUGGCCCUUGUGUCAUUCUGCCAGACUGAUCCUGUGCCCGGGAGUUUACGUCGACUUAUUUUUGACAGGUACCUUUUUAAGCUGUAGUACGCAAAAUGGCUGUCAUCUACUGUUAUGAUGAAAUCCAAACUGAAAUAGC